CUCAGACGAUCGAUGGCGGCGUGCUUCACACAUGCAAGGAGAGCGGAAAGGCCUCUUUGGGGGUACUCGAGCGGCGAACUGUUGCGUAACACGUGAGUAACCUGCCCCAGUCUUUGGGAUAACCCUCGGAAACGGGGGCUAAUACCGGAUAUGACUCGCGGCCGCAUGGUUGUGGGUGGAAAGGUUUUCUGGUCUGGGAUGGGCUCGCGGCCUAUCAGCUUGUUGGUGGGGUGAUGGCCUACCAAGGCGACGACGGGUAGCCGGCCUGAGAGGGCGACCGGCCACACUGGGACUGAGACACGGCCCAGACUCCUACGGGAGGCAGCAGUGGG
rnacentral:rRNA from 1 species